AGAGUUUGAUCCUGGCUCAGAGCGAACGCUGGCGGCAGGCCUAACACAUGCAAGUCGAACGGACCUUUCGGGGUUAGUGGCGGACGGGUGAGUAACACGUGGGAACGUGCCUUUANGGUUCGGAAUAGCUCCUGGAAACGGGUGGUAAUGCCGAAUGUGCCCUUCGGGGGAAAGAUUUAUCGCCUUUAGAGCGGCCCGCGUCUGAUUAGCUAGUUGGUGGGGUAAUGGCCCACCAAGGCUACGAUCAGUAGCUGGUCUGAGAGGAUGACCAGCCACAUUGGGACUGAGACACGGCCCAAACUCCUACGGGAGGCAGCAGUGGGGAAUCUUGCGCAAUGGGCGAAAGCCUGACGCAGCCAUGCCGCGUGUAUGAUGAAGGUCUUAGGAUUGUAAAAUACUUUCACCGGUGAAGAUAAUGACUGUAGCCGGAGAAGAAGCCCCGGCUAACUUCGUGCCAGCAGCCGCGGUAAUACGAAGGGGGCUAGCGUUGCUCGGAAUUACUGGGCGUAAAGGGAGCGUAGGCGGACAUUUAAGUCAGAGGUGAAAUCCCGGAG
rnacentral:rRNA from 1 species